rnacentral:ncRNA from 1 species
AUAUUGAUAUAAGAUUUAAAAAGGGAUAUUUCGAGAGUAGUAUGAAAAUCAAAGUUUGAAUCAGAAUCUGUCGGAUAUUUUUAGGGGGAUAUUUCGAGAGUAGUAUGAAAAUCAAAGUUUAAAUCAGAAUCUGUCGGAUAUUUUUAGGGGGAUAUUUCGAGAUUAGGUGUAUGAAAAUUUAAUUUUAAUUUUAAAUUUAUUUAUUAUUUUAAGGUUUAAUUUUUAUUAUAAUUUAAUUUUUGUAUUUACUAUUAUAAUUAUUUAUAUAUUGAGGGAUUGUUAAAGUUAAUUUUUAAGUAAUGAUUUAUUUUAUAAUUUAAAAUUUAAUUCUAAUUUUUUAAUUUAUUGUAAAUUUUAUUUAAUAUAUAAAUAUUAGUUAUUAAUUAUUUAUUUAAAUAAUAAAUAGUUAUAUUUAAUUAUAAUGGGUAGUAUAUAAUUUUAAUAAUAUAUAAAAAUAUUUUUUGUAUUAGAAAUUUUUAUUAAAAAUUGAAAAAAUUUGUGCCAGCAUUCGCGGUUAGACAAAUAUUUAAAUUUAAUUAAAUUAUUUAAAUUUUAAAAUUAUUAAUUAUAUAUUAAUUUAAAUUUAUUAUGUAGAAAUUAAAUUAAGGUGAAAUUUUAUUAUUUUUUUAUAGAUAAAUUUAAUUUUGAUGUUAGUAUAUUUUGAAAAUUUUUUUUUAAACUAGGAUUAGAUACCCUAUUAUUUUAAUUGUAAAUUAUUUAAGUUUUUUUUAUUUUAUAUAAAGUGUUAUUUUUUAUUUUAUUAUUUAUUAUUUAGCGUUUUUAUGAAUUAAUUUAAAUAAGUAUAAAAUUUAAUUUAUUUUUAUGUUAAUUAUUAUUAUUAUUUUGAUUAGGUAGUAUUAGGGAUGGUCUUGAAACUUAAAGAAUUUGACGGUAAUUCAUUCAAUUUAGAGGAACUUGUUUUUUAAUUGAUGGUCCACGAUAAUAAAGACUUAAAUUUUUAUUUAUUUUAUUAUAAUAAAUAUAUUUAUUUGUAUAUCGUCGUUUUAAAAAGAUUUUUGAAGAAUUAGGUAAUUUUUUUAAUAUUAUGAAAAAGAAUUUUUUUUAUAAUAAUAAUUCAGAUCAAGGUGCAGUUUAUGUUUAAGUUAAAAUGAGUUACAAUAAAUUUGAUUUAUUUAUGGAGUUAAAAUUUUAAUUAUUUUAAUGAAGGUGGAUUUAAAAGUAAAUUUAAAUAAUUAUUUAAUUUGAAAAUUGUUUUGAGUUAUGUACAUAUCGCCCGUCACUCUCGCUAUAAAGUGAGAUAAGUCGUAACAAAGUAAGAGUACUGGAAAGUGUUCUUAGAAUUAUUUACAGU